UACGUAGGGGGCAAGCGUUGUCCGGAAUCAUUGGGCGUAAAGAGCGUGUAGGCGGCCCGAUAAGUCCGCUGUGAAAGUCCAGGGCUCAACCCUGGAAAGCCGGUGGAUACUGUCGGGCUAGAGUCCGGAAGAGGCGAGUGGAAUUCCUGGUGUAGCGGUGGAAUGCGCAGAUAUCAGGAGGAACACCGAUGGCGAAGGCAGCUCGCUGGGACGGUACUGACGCUGAGACGCGAAAGCGUGGGGAGCGAACAGG
rnacentral:rRNA from 1 species